rnacentral:rRNA from 1 species
UAUUGCAAAAUGGGCGAAAGCCCGAUGCAGCAACGCCGCGUGGGCGAUGAAGGCCUUCGGGUCGUAAAGCCCUUUUUGAGGGGAUGAGGAAGGACAGUACCCUCAGAAUAAGCCUCGGCUAACUACGUGCCAGCAGCCGCGGUAAAACGUAGGAGGCGAGCGUUAUCCGGAUUUACUGGGCGUAAAGCGCGUGCAGGCGGAUUGGAGAGUUGGAUGUGAAAGCUCCCGGCUUAACUGGGAGAGGUCGUUCAAUACUUCCAGUCUUGAGUGCAGUAGAGGGAAGUGGAAUUCCGGGUGUAGUGGUGAAAUGCGUAGAUAUCCGUAGGAACACCAGUGGCGAAAGCGGCUUCCUGGAC